GUGACCGGCCGGGCCCGUGAGGGGACAGGAACAGAGGAGAGGGCUCGGGGCGUGUACGGGGACAGGGUUCUAAUUAUGCUGGAGAAUGGAGCUCCCAAGACCAUUUUCCCCUCUGCCCACCAACACCCAAACUGCCCUUUGGAGUGAGUUCCAUCUGGGGUGGAGCCAGUUCUUCAGGCUAACAGAUUUUAAUUCUCCAUGAAUGAAAUUUCAUGUAUUUUGACGAAGUGCUAAACAUCAUGAUGGUUUUAUGACUACUGAAGGCGUAAUUGGAGUAUCACGGGAAGCAGAAGGCUGUGUUAUUAGUCAGCAAUCACACAUACACAUCCAGUUAUAGAAAACAGGCAGCUCAAGCAGCCCUGAUUUUCAGGAGAUCUCAUCAGUGACUGACAGUGGAUGAUGCCAGUGCCCCCUGUACUGCCAGCCCAGUGCAAGGGGAACACUGGGGAUGGCAAAAUGGAAACGGUCUUGGCGACACGGAUAUUUUUGGGCAGUCACAGCUUCCACAGCACUGAGUCACUGCAGCAGAGCAACCUCUAAGGAGUGUCCUCCUUCCACAUCAGCCAGAGGGAAGGCUCUGCCCCUUCCUCCUGCUCUGCCAGCAGUGUGACACAGCUCCAGAAGGGAUAGCCAGUCCAUUUAGGAGUUAUCUCCUACAUAGGCACUGAUCUGCCAGGCGUACCCUUGCAGUGUUGCACUCCAGCUUUAAGCUUUUCAGGUAUUUGGCAGCCUGGAUGUCUUAAAAACCUGAAGGAAAAUGUAAGCUGAGUUUACAGCUGAGCGGGGAAGGGGAAAAAAUAGCACUUAUUGAAGUUCCUAGGGAAGAUGGAAACAGUAAAUGGAAGAUGGAAAGAUUAAGCAGGGCCUCUAGUCUGAUUGUGCCCUUCAACUGCUCCAGGGCCACCUUGGGGAGCAGCCUUCUGUGCCAUGAAUGUCCUGUUCAGCCAGCCCACCAAGACAUCCAGUGGCAUGGCACCUUCCCAGGCUGUGAGAGCUCAGAACCCAGCAGGCAGGACAACCCCAGCUUCCACCUUUGACCCCUG